AUUGAACGCUGGCGGCAGGCUUAACACAUGCAAGUCGAACGAGUGGCGGACGGGUGUGUAAUGCUUGGGAAUCUAGCUUAUGGAGGGGGAUAACUACGGGAAACUGUAGCUAAUACCGCGUACCAUAGGAUGAGCCCAAGUGGGAUUAGGUAGUUGGUGAGGUAAAGGCUCACCAAGCCGACGAUCUCUAGCUGGUCUGAGAGGGUGACCGGCGAAACUGGGACUGAGACACGGCCAAGACUCCUACGGGAGGGAGCAGUGGGGAAUAUUGCGCAAUGGGGGCAAGCCUAACGCAGCAAUGCAGCGUGAAUGAGGAAGGCCUUCGGUUUGUAAAGCACUUUCAACGAGAAGGCGUUACUCGAAGAAGAAGCAACGGCUAACUCCGUGCCAGCAGCCGCGGUAAUUC
rnacentral:rRNA from 1 species